rnacentral:ncRNA from 2 species
UCUUUUCAGGUCUGUGGUUGCGAAGUUCUCUAUGAGCUUCUAGUCCAUGACAGACGAGGUCAAAGGGAUCCACGUAAGUUUAUGUGUGCGCACGUAAACGAUCAUGGCUCGUCCUAGAAGUAAGCCGUACCGCCUGUUAUAUAAAUGAGACAAAGGGUCUCGCAGGCGAGAGAGCUAUUAGUGGAGCUACUGCGGUAGUAAAGCAAACGUUCCAGUAUGCGAGUGUGGGGUCAAAUACCAGGUCAGCUGAAAAGA